rnacentral:rRNA from 1 species
AUACGUAGGGUGCAAGCGUUAAUCGGAAUUACUGGGCGUAAAGCGUGCGCAGGCGGUUUUGUAAGACAGAGGUGAAAUCCCCGGGCUCAAACUGGGAACUGCCUUUGUGACUGCAAGGCUAGAGUACGGCAGAGGGGGAUGGAAUUCCGCGGUGAGCAGUGAAAUGCGUAGAUAUGCGGAGGAACACCGAUGGCGAAGGCAAUCCCCUGGGCCUGUACUGACGCUCAUGCACGAAAGCGUGGGGAGCAAACAGGAUUAGAUACCCUGGUAGUCCACGCCCUAAACGAUGUCAACUGGUUGUUGGGUCUUCAUUGACUCAGUAACGAAGCUAACGCGUGAAGUUGACCGCCUGGGGAGUACGGCCGCAAGGUUGAAACUCAAAUGAAUUGACGGGG